UAGGUUCCUUCAUGGAGGUGGUUGGUCUUCGAGACCAAUUGGCACAGAUUAAUCGGACGGUCUUCGUUCUUUGUUGUUCAUUCCGACUGAAACUUUCUGGAUGGAUAUUUAAAAGAAGCCUCAUAAUGCCAUCUUUCCAAAAUUGUUGUGUUUUGGACAAGAAAUAAUCCUCGAGAUGCGCAUUUAUUUCGCUGAUGGAUUUAAAACGCUUAUUGCGAAGAGAAUUUUUUAAGGACAGAAUGAAGUAAUAAUCAGAUGGUGCAAGAUAUGGAAAGUAUGCAGGAUGCGGUAAAACAUCUGAAACUGUAAGAGCUUCUCUCUUACGACUAAUGCAAUAUGUGGUCUCGCGUUGUCAUGAUGAAAAACAACAGCUCGUGACUUUCUAAAUUAGAAGACAUGAUUUAGACUCCGACGAAAAUGAAUCGUCUGUCUCGUUCUGGAGAAAUAAAUAGAAUGAUGCUGUCAAUAAAUAAUGAACAACAAUUUUGUAUAUUGAUAUGUAUUCACCUGAAAUAAUACAUUUUGUAAAUGCAAAAUCUUUAUUAUUUAAUAGUACCUUCAAAAUAUGCCAAGGCAGAAAUUUAUUGAGAAA